CAACACCAAUCAUGGGUGACAAAUUAAGCAAGAAUAGUCAUCUGUAGUAUAAAUCCCAUCUCUGAAAAUAGACUGAUUGAAAUAUAAUUAUUUAUCCAUCUUCAAUAUGAAAUAGUCCCCACAUUUCUCGAUAUAUAACAUUAAACACUUGAUAUUUAUCAUUUGCUAAAUCACGUCCCAAUACAUGAAAUAUCUCCACUUCAACUAUCACCACCCAAGAAAACUCUCAUCAAGUAUUUAGAAUCAUCGAACUUCACAUAAGACUUAGCAAAUAAUCCCAUCAAUAUUCAUGUAUAAUGUAAAUGCAAAAAUCAUCAUGAUUCCCAAGAAAAUUUCAUGCAAAAAUCAUCAUGUACAAUCUAACGAUGUUAAGCAUUCCAACUUAGCUCGAGUACUAAACAACUAUAAGCACUAGCGCAAAUCUUGCAGGCUGAUUACCCAAAUACACUUAGCCUAUCGGUCAAAAGAUUUUGAGGAAUUAAGACAAGAAUUGGAAAUGAAAACUUAGCUGCCAUGCUCAUCCCUGACCCGAAUCUUUGCCAGCUACGUCAACGCGGGAAUCCCCUGUGUUUAUGGACCCAGGCGGUGCUCGACGGCGAUACUCGGUCCCUGACCCUAAUGCUCAAUUGUCGAGCGAACUGAGGAGUGGCUGUGGCUGCGGCUGUCUCUUUGGUGAAGGUGACAAUGGAUAGACCCGCUGAUUCGAGCGGUUUCAUCGAUCCCAUUGCGAAGAAGAAGAGUGGAUCGUGAUUUUCCCUCGAUUUUCUGAAGCCAGCAGCGACGAUUCGCGCCUCAAGCGCCGCUAAACCGAGCGAUAACCCAAGCAAAAAUGGGUCUCUACUGGUAAUGCGCUGGGGAACACAGGAAAACGCGAAGAAUCAGUAGAAUUUUUUCAUGAUUUACUCGAAAUUACUCAGAAAUAAGUGUUAAUUUAUGAUAAUCGAGGGUUUUCCCCUCAGCUAGUAGUCGGCGGCGGGUGAUUCUUGCGCGGCAGCGGUGUCUGCGCGGUGGUGGUGUGUGGUUCGUGCGCAGCAGCGGCGCGCGGUCUCUGUGUGACAAUGGGGCACGGUUCUGUGCCUACGCACGGAGCCUGAACGGCAGCGAUUUGUUGGUUACGGAGGAAGCGAUCCACUGGCUUUUCGAAUUUUUUUGAUUGGAAUUGGGGGCUUCUGGAAAAGAGCAGGAGCGAGAUGCUCAGAUUUUUCUUGGAGAUGGCUAUUGUUGGGGGACUCCGCUGGGAACUGAGAAGGAUUCAAUCCGGGAUGUGGGAGAUAGAGGGCGAUGACAGGAGCUAGUUCUGUGGCUAGCGGCGACGCACGCCGGAAAUCAGCUCAGGAUAGCUGAUAGUGAAAUUGAGGCUUCUCGAUUUCUAUGAGAGAAUAAUUGAUCCGAAAUUGGGGAUCGAAAGAAGAAAGAGGAUUCUCUCCGGAAAGAGCUCAAAUCGAAGACUUCAUGGCCUCGAUUCCGAAAAUCGGAAAUCCCCUCUCUCCCCUGAAUCUGGAAAAAAAAUUUCUUCUUGCGAUGAACAGUAACCGACGAUGAACAGUAACCCUCUAUAUUUUUUUUAAAUUUUUUUUGUUGGUAAGCUCGUCGGAACUCACGACGUAGCUCCGAUUCGUUCCCACAGACGGCGCCAGUUGGUGAAACGAGAAACCAACACCUAGGGAUGUAAAUGAAGCAAAUAAUUUUGAUUCGGUUCGGUAUUCGAUUCGAAUUUUUGAUAUUCGAAUAUCAAAUUUUAUGAUUCGAAUACGAAUACAAAUUUUUUUUUUGAUUCGUUUAGUUAUCAAAUACUAUUCGAGAAUCACGAUAUUCGAUUCGAUUUGAUUCGGUAUUCGAAAAUAUAUAUAUAUAUAUAUAUAUAUAAUAUAAAUAAUAAAAUUUUAUUUUUUGGAGUUGGAUUUUGAAAUAGAAGAAAAUAUUUUUAGUAUAUAUUAUUGAGUUUUUUAAGUAAAUUUUGAAAUAUUAUUUUACAUUUUUUUUCUCUAUUAAAAUCGUGGAUUGAAUAUAUUCGAAUUAAAUUAAUAAUAGGAAUUUUUCGAACCGAAUAUUCGAUUUAUAUUGUGUUACAUACAUUUUAAAAAAAAGACAAACGAAUAUUCGAUUCGGUUCGAGUAUUCGCGAAUAGUAUACGAAUCGAAUACAAAUAGCGAAAUAUGAUUCGAAAGGUAUUCGAAUACCGAUUCGAAUAUGUAAUUAAUUUUACGAAUAUGAAUCGAAUACAGUGAUAUUCGAUUCGAUUCGAUUCGUUUACAUCCCUACCAACACCUAAACUAGAAAGCUUACACGAGACAAGAUUUACGUGGUUCGGUCGAGAAGACCUACGUCCACGGGGGGUUUUGG
rnacentral:lncRNA from 1 species